AACCCAUGGUGAGGGUACCUUCUCAGUAAGUCUUUGCAUCUUUCCCAUGCAUCGUAAAGUGUUUCUAAGUCCAUCUGUACAAACGAAGAGAUAUCAUUACGUAAUUU
rfam:Gossypium arboreum cultivar AKA8401 contig_145629_1, whole genome shotgun sequence.